CGUUAUGCUGUUUUCUUCCUCCUUCCUCAGAGAAGGGUUUGCUCAUGCAUGAGGUGUUUCGUUUUGGCACUUUGCAUGAUUUCCUUCGAUGUACGCAUUUAUGUACAUUUAUGUAGAAAUAAGUGUCUACAAAUACCGUGUGCUCACAGAGUUCCUGGUGCUGAGACUUACUUGCUUAGCUCUGUGCCCUAACCCUGUUUCCUGCCCAAAUGAGCACUGUGCUCCUGGCUGCAUCUUGGAUGUGAGGAACAGAGCUGUCAUCCAGAAGUGCCUCGCUCACAUCAACAGGAAGGGGGGCCAAGACCUGAGGUUUUACACAGCAGUCUCUGCAGAAAGCAGAGACAGAUGUCUGAUAGGGACUGAUAUAUAUUUCAAGACGGGAUAUCCUCACCUUGAUUAUGCAGUUAGGGAGUAAAACUCUUCUGCUGGACCGAGUCCUCGUUUCUGUGAUGAUGUCCUGUACUGCUCCAACUCAGAGGUUAUUUGCUGGGCCUCCUGCCUGGGGCAAGUUGCUGAUUUUUGGCAGUAAUGGAGCCCUGUCAGGUGUGCUGGAAGUAUUUGGUAUGCAUCAGGUCUGUCAAUUCCUAAUUACAGCCAAAAAGAAGGAGGUACAGCUCUAUUAACAGGGAGAGGAAUAAAACACAGCUCGGUAGUGACUGAAAAUUUGUCUCUUACAAGUUACUGCAAGUAGUUGGAAAUACUGUGCACAAUACACCAAGCAUGGUGAGACUCACAGCUCACAUGUACUGAAGAAUAUAGAGAACCAUACAAAGCAAACAAAGCAGCUAGCUUAUAAAACAGGUUGUUGAGUAAGACCCAGUCUCCCUGCAGGAAGCUGUUAUUAAUUCUAAUUUGGUGAAGUCUUCAGUUUCAACAUCUCAAAUGGUAAUACAUAUAUUUCUGAAAGAAAAUUCUAAAUGGAUUUGGAAUUGUGAAGCUGUUGGUAAUUAUAGUCUGGUAAAGCCCGCAACAGUGACUUCCAACAUGUGCAAAUAGUGCGGGAUGGAAGCAGAACAUGGAUCCAGCAUGAAUUCUAUCACAAGACCUCAAGACGUCAGUGUCUGUUUUGCUGCUGGGACAGAAGGAUGUCACAAGCAGAGAGCUCAAAGUCCACCUGCAGACUGACACAGACGCCCUUUGACUUUCUAUUGACUGAAGGAAGGACUGAACUUCUUGAUGACACCUAAGAGAGGGUUAAAAAGGGGUGAUUAAGAAGAUCACAACUAGAGGACAUCUGCACUUUUGUGAGCUUUGGUGUUUUUAGUAAUAAUGGUUCAUCCUGUGAUCUACAAAACAAACUGUAAGUUCCUUUGGUUUGAUUCAACUUAGGCUCCUGGUGCUGUAGACAGUGAAUGAGGAAGAAAACAAUUACACCACACUUGAAGCUGAGUAUCUGUACAGAUCUUCUGUAUGGAUCUCAUAUUCCACACAGUGACCACCAGUCCCUUUUUCUACAGGGAUGAUGCAAUUGUACCUGGGACACCACAAGCAACUCUAGGUUUUCCAACACUGAUUCUGUGCUUAACUAAAGCAAUUAAUAGUACUGACCAAUGAAUGUGGAGAAAGACAAACAAACUUCCCGAUUUUGCUGUAUUUAGGUAGUUCUCUUCACCUGAACAGAUCAGGUCUUAAAGAGGGUGUAACUGCAGUCAUAGCUUUAGAACUAUAAUCAGUAAUACUUAUAUCUCCUGUUACAGACUUUAUACCUCAGGAGAUGCGGAGGAAAAUUAUUCAUCUGCGAAACACACAGCGUGUCAUUGCAGGUGACAGUAAAGGUCUUUCACCGGAAUUACCUGUAAAAGCAAGCUUUUGUUAAUGAUUUCUAACAGGUCAUCCAAGCAUAGUUCAGUGCACUGAACUCUAGCCAGAGAAUGGAAACUAUGACAGCACAGUGCAUGAGUUUCAGUGACAACACACUGUGAACCUUACAGGAAAUUUAAGGCUGUUUUUUUGCCUAUCGGUAGAUGAAAACUGAACUGAGAAGUGGAUCCAGCCAAUGAAUGAGAGGGAUCCUGAAUGCAGAAGUUCCUUUUCAAGUAUUGUUGAGUUGUGAUGAAGAUCUGAUGACAUAUUUUUAGUCAAAUUUCUUUUUAUGCAUCUAUGAUGUCUUAUUUUCCUGAAAUAUAAUGGUGACUGCCAACAGCAUGGUCUGCAACAGAUGUUAAGAGAGCUUAGGGAUAGAUUCAGAUGGCUGAGUACAAUAUAAUCAUUUUACAUGAAAUAGAGUUGGCAAGCUAAAAUGGUUAUGGCUUCAAGUAUAUGCCUUUGCAGAUUAAUUGCUGGUGAUUAUACUUUUCUGAUAGCACAGACCUGGAAUGCUGAACUGUAAAAAAAUUCUUGUGUGUCCCUCUGAGGGCAGGAGUAUGCAAGUGUGUCAUCAGCACAAGUAAUGAGCAUGUAUUUGCCUAAAUCAACCCUGCAUGUGAGCUGCUGAGACACUUUCCAGAUAAAAUGCUAAAACAGAGAGUUGUCAGUCUUCACUUAACAGAGUAUGCUUUACUUCUCUGGUACAUGGGAUGCUGAGACUGAUAGCCAUCUACUUCUACCAUGAGUAAAAGCUAGUUUCACACACAUAUACAAAAACAAACAAACAAACAAACAAAAAAAC
ensembl:lncRNA